CUUCGAUUUGUGCAAAAAGAUUCUUAUAUAAGCAUUAUUUUAAUAUUAAAUAUACUUUUUGUUAAAGGAGAAGUGAAGAAAAUUUAUAUUAUUAUGCUAAUGA